rnacentral:misc_RNA from 1 species
AUUAUGGAGAGAACUGUUCUACACCGUGCCAUCAAAACUGUUUGGAGGGUCGGUGUGACGUCGUGGAUGGAACCUGUCUAGGCUGCAUUCCAGGAUACACAGGAUCUACAUGUGAUACAGCAUGUGGUAACAAUACAUAUGGACCAAACUGCUCAAUGACUUGUGGAAAUUGUUCCUACUUCUACGGGGAACAAUGUCAUCACGUGACUGGUUAUUGUCCACGUGAGUGUAUUUCUGGUUUCAAAGGUGCACGAUGUGAUGAAGCAUAUGAUUCAGUAUUCCUUACUGAAUCAAACAGUAAGCGAGAUAUUCUACUCUACACCUUUAGUGUUUUAUUUGGUGUCAGUGCAAUUUUCAUCAUCAUAUUCAUAGUGAGAUGCAGAAGACAAUAGGUAUUUGAACAACAAUAUAAAGAAGAUAAACAAGACAGUGAACAUGAUAAAAAAUUCAAAAGUACAAAUGAUGAAUAUGACCAUCCGUUAGAAAGUGGAAGGUAUCAGGAAUUGGGAGUUGUCAAUCAAAUGUCACUUUAUGAUAAACUUGAAUGAUAUAUUGGAUAUAACCGUCAGAUGAAACGCAGUGUUAGGCAUGAGGAGAUGACUAAUAUAAACAACACCACCGUAAUGUUCAGACCUGGUAUACAUCCAUUGGGAACGACUUUGUAAUUGUUCAAUACUAUUUUGGAACAAAUAAUACUUGUUUGUUUCAAUGUGCGGUUGAGAUCACCAAACUGAUUGUAAGGAAUAAUUAAUGCUACACUGCACUGACGCCGCAAAACUUUUUAAAAUCAUUUUUAAAAUGACUUCCGAAUCAGAAUUUAAACUGGUAUUAAAAUGGUAUUUAUGAAAUAAAUGGAGGUAGACAAGUC